rnacentral:rRNA from 1 species
GACGAACGCUGGCGGCGUGCUUAACACAUGCAAGUCGAACGGAAAGGCCCUGCUUUUGUGGGGUGCUCGAGUGGCGAACGGGUGAGUAACACGUGAGUAACCUGCCCUUGACUUUGGGAUAACUUCAGGAAACUGGGGCUAAUACCGGAUAGGAGCUCCUGCUGCAUGGUGGGGGUUGGAAAGUUUCGGCGGUUGGGGAUGGACUCGCGGCUUAUCAGCUUGUUGGUGGGGUAGUGGCUUACCAAGGCUUUGACGGGUAGCCGGCCUGAGAGGGUGACCGGCCACAUUGGGACUGAGAUACGGCCCAGACUCCUACGGGAGGCAGCAGUGGGGAAUAUUGCACAAUGGGCGGAGGCCUGAUGCAGCAACGCCGCGUGCGGGAUGACGGCCUUCGGGUUGUAAACCGCUUUCGCCUGUGACGAAGCGUGAGUGACGGUAAUGGGUAAAGAAGCACCGGCUACUACGUG